AUCCUGGCUCAGGAUGAACGCUAGCGACAGGCUUAACACAUGCAAGUCGAGGGGCAGCACGGCGGUGGGCAACACUGGCUGGUGGCGACCGGCGCACUGGUGAGUAACACGUAUGCAACCUGCCCUGCACAGGGGGAUAAUCCGCGGAAACGCGGUCUAAUACCCCGUAGAACCUUUGGUCGCAUGAUUAGAGGUGGAAAGCUCCGGGUGGUGCGGGAUGGGCAUGCGUCGCAUUAGCUGGUUGGUGAGGUAACGGCUCACCAAGGCGACGAUGCGUAGGGGUUCUGAGAGGAACGGUCCCCCACACUGGUACUGAGACACGGACCAGACUCCUACGGGAGGCAGCAGUGAGGAAUAUUGGUCAAUGGCCGGGAGGCUGAACCAGCCAAGUCGCGUGAGGGAAGGAGGCCCUAUGGGUCGUAAACCUCUUUUGCCGGGGGCAAUGUGGCGGACGUGUCCGCCAGUGAGAGUACCCGGAGAAAAAGCAUCGGCUAACUCCGUGCC
rnacentral:rRNA from 1 species